CUGAACAACUUCUCUUAAUAUUUGGCGGCCUUGUUUACAUUUAUUAAACAAUUUGUGAUCUCCGAAGCAUCAGGAGGCUGUUUACAACGAUAAUUACAUUUGACUGGGAAGAUUCAAUGCUCGGUAACAUAAACAAAAAGUGACUGGCGCCAAUUGUUGUGAUAUUCUUGCCCUUGCCUGAGGCCAGCUGACGGUCUAUGUGUGUCGCUCACAGCUGUCAAGGAGCCUGAGGACAGCUGGCGGUCUAUGUCUCUCUCGCUCACAGCUGUCAAGUUUUUCGCGGUAAAUAUCCGUAUUUUGUGAGAACUUUGGUGUGAGUGAAUGUAUUCGUUCCUUGAACACUGGAUGUGAGUGAAGGUACUCGUGCUCAAGCAGUUGGAAGUUAGAGGAAAUAAUAUUUAGCAGCGAUGGACACAGCGAGUCUAUAAAGCCUAACUAGAUACUUCCUAGAGCCUCCACGUCCCACAGCGCUCCACUCAUCAUCGUUCAAAGGAUUUGUCAUUGCGAAGGUCUUGAAGAGGUGAUCGUCCAACAGACAGCCUCCACCGCUGUCAGAAAGAGAUAUGCAGAGCCACUUUAUUUAAUCACUUCACGGAAAGAAACCCAUGGAAUAGUUUACCACCUGAAGCCGUAAAUGCGAAGUCAGAAUUCUACCUGAAAAUUUAACUGGAACAAUUCCAUAGGAAUAAUGGAGGGAUUUUCGUCAAGCUGCUGUCUUCCUGUCUCCAAGUCCACUAGAGAA